AACGAACGCUGGCGGCAGGCCUAACACAUGCAAGUCGAGCGAGGACUUCGGUUCUAGCGGCGGACGGGUGAGUAACGCGUGGGAAUGUGCCCUUCUCUACGGAAUAGCCCUGGGAAACUGGGAGUAAUACCGUAUACGCCCUUUUGGGGAAAGAUUUAUCGGAGAAGGAUCAGCCCGCGUUGGAUUAGGUAGUUGGUGGGGUAAUGGCCUACCAAGCCGACGAUCCAUAGCUGGUUUGAGAGGAUGAUCAGCCACACUGGGACUGAGACACGGCCCAGACUCCUACGGGAGGCAGCAGUGGUGAAUCUUAGACAAUGGGGGCAACCCUGAUCUAGCCAUGCCGCGUGAGUGAUGAAGGCCUUAGGGUUGUAAAGCUCUUUCAGCUGGGAAGAUAAUGACGGUACCAGCAGAAGUAGCCCCGGCUAACUCCGUG
rnacentral:rRNA from 1 species